UACCAGCCCUUCCAGAAAUUGACUCAUGGAAUUAAUUCAGUUUUUUUUUAAUGUGACUUCUUUUGUCUUUUAAGAGUUAUUUAUUUAUUUGUUUGAAAGCAGAGCUUCAGAGAGGCAGAGGAAGAGAGAGAGAGAGAGAGAGAGGUCUUCUAUCCGCUGGUCCACUCCCCAAAUUGCUGCAAUGGCUGGAGCUGUGCUGAUCUGAAGCCAGGAGCCAGGAGCUUCGUCCGGUCUCCAACGUGGGUGCAGGGGCCCAAGCACUUGGGCCAUCUUCCACUGCUUUCCCAGGCCACAGCAGAGAGCUGGAUCGGCAGUGGAGCAGCUGGAACUGGAACCAGCGCCCACAUGGGAUGCCGGCACUGCAGGCGGCGGCUUUACCCACCAUGCCGCAGCACUGGCCCUGGAACUAAUUCCGUUCUAACGAAAGCACAGAUCAAUUGUUCAUGAACUCUAAUGAGACAACUGCGGAGUGUGUGUGAAAGUGCAAGCAGCCGGCUGUGAAGACCCCUCCAGUGAGGAGAAGGAGAUGAGCGAGGGGCCCGACCCAGGCCCAGAGCACUCCUAACACGCCAGAGCCUUGGUGCUGGAGCAGGGCAGGGCGAGGCCAGCACGGAGCGGGCCGGCUGCUUCUCAACGAGCCUCAGGCCCAGCCUGCCAGAGACCUGCAGGCUCUUCAUACUCUCUUCGGUUUCCUGACUAAGUCAAGCAAUACCAUCAGCAUACCCAUUUUACAGAUGGAGAAACUGGGGCUGCCCUGUUGGUGAAUGGCAAGCCUGGAGACCAGCAUGCAGAAAAGCAAAGCCCGAAUCGUGCUGGCACAAGCUCGGGUAGGAUCGCAGCAGCCCGGAUCUGCCCCUCCCCGGCCAAAUGCCUCCAACCUUCAGCUGCCAGGAGGAGUCUCAGAAUCCAAAUGCAACAUUGGUUCUUCAAACACAAGGUGGCUUCAGACUGCAGCGGGGGUCGCGGACAGCAGGCAGCGGUGGCCGAGGCAGGACAGAGCCAGCCCUGAGCACAGCACUUGGACGCUGGGCUUCUCAAGCAAGGAUGGGAAAGGGUGCCCAGGAAGUGAGAGCCCAGAGCAGGUGCUCGCUCAGACCCUGGACGGUGAGGACCCGGAGCAGGCGCUCGCUCAGACCCCUGCAGCGCCCAGCUCUGAGAGUCUCUGGCCGUCCGGCGAGUGCCUGUCUCCCCCUCUAUGCCCCAAGGCAAAGAGCCCCCCACUCAGCCCCUCCUCUUGCCUCGAACCAUGCUGCAGCUUUGUGUCUUAUACACACAGUCUGAGUUCACGUGGGUGUGUUUCGCGUUUAGUUACUUGUUUAUUCCAGCACUCUGUUUAAAAGAACAGCAUCCAUUCUCCACUGAACUGCGUCUUGCGCAUUUGUCAAAAACCAGCGGACCGUGUUUGUGCUGGUCCCUCUCUGGGUGCCCAGCAGGUGGCGCCUGCCUCAGCCGGGGCCAGACUUCCUGAUGCGGGCGGCUGGGGGCUAAGUCUCCAUGUCAGAUCCUGGAGGGCUCCCAUGUUCUUCAUCUUCAAAUCAGCUGUUGGCUUGUUAGCCCAGCCCUCUUUGACUACCGUGCUUCUGCCCUUAGAUGGUUUAACAGUGAACAUCACCAGCCCGCGGAAUUCGCCAGAACUAAUGCACCCUGUGCCAACAUGCUCAUGGACUCCCAACCUACCUGCCCAACUCCACGGCCAGUCUCCCCUUCCUGGCCCACACCACCCGCCAACCAGGGAGGGGGACCCCCAGCCUAAAACAGCUGCUGUCCUCCUGGGCGCUCCUGGCAGACUCUCCCCAAGCUACCUUAAGACCCAGGUUCCUCAAGUGAGGACCACGUGUCUUCACAUCGCCGUGGCUGGGCCAAGGUGCUGCAGCCUUUGGGUUCCCCUGCUGAUGUGGCAAAGUCCGCGUCGGGAGCCUUGGACCUGAC
ensembl:lncRNA